AAAACAUCAGCCAAAAAUCCUCUCCCCUCUCUCCUCUCUAAUCCACGACAACCCCCUCCUUCAAAUAAUCCCAAAGGCUUCUCUUGUUCUUCACAAAGAAGCAAGCUCUUCUCCUUCUUCUUUCCCCUCAAUAAUUCAGCAUAUAUUCAUAAAGAGUUUCUCCCAUCAAUAAACUCCAAGAAAACAGCCCUUCCACAGCCUACAAACUCAGCCCAAAGCAUCCCAAGAUCAUCCAUGGCCAAAACUCGAAGACCUCCAUGAAUCCUUCAAUUUCUCCUUCUCUUAUCUUUGAUUUUCUUCAAAUGGGUUUUCAAUGUAAUCAGAGUGGCGCAGCGGAGCGGAGUUGGAGGAAUCACAAGCCUUGAUGCCUUAUAUGUCGUCUCCGGAUUUCUUACAAAAGUAUCUCUCCACUUUUUCCUUUUAAAAGUCCAAUGUAUAACGGAGAUCUUUACGAGUUUAUUUUGUACUCUGAUUUUGGAAUCUAGUCUAUUAAACCGGGGUAUAUAAAUAAAGUUUAUUUUCUUCCGUUGUAUUACGAGUAUUUUGUAAACCCCGUUCAUAGUCAUGUAUGUAGCACUCUUUAUGAAAAUGGUUUCUU